GAAGUAUGAUGAAAAAGAGAGAGAACUGAUUAACAGUUCGUUUUGGCAAGGUCCAGUGAACUGUGCUGUAAUCAAGACACAAAGGACAGGCAAGACAGAAAUAACACACAUUAAAAAUAGAGAUGGAUAUGAAUUUCAAAAGGAACAAUUUUACCCAACUGAAGAAAUUUUAGCUGAGCAGAAAUCCAUCCUGAAAAACAGUUUCAAAUGGACAACUCCCAGAGCUGUUUUAUCCAGCUGUAUUUUUAAUGUAAUAAGUAAAUGCAUUUCCCCAGCUUAAAUUUGGUACUAUUAUACAGUCUAAUGAAAAUUCAUGCUAACAAAAUUAAUGCUGCUUUAUAUUCAAUAUCAAUGUCCUUUGCUAAAAGGGUUCUGUAUAGGACUUAGAGGGUCUUCUAGUCCAGCAUCUUGUCCGAUUUGCCAUUGUCACAGGCUUUGUAUAAUCCCACAUAUAAAUACAGCAAGCUUCACCUUGAGAAGAGUAGAGCUUCUGGAACACGGAUAUUUCUCUAUUUGAAGGUUAUUGGAAAACUUGUCUCAUCUUUCGCUUCAUUCUUCUUUCCAAAUCUGCUUAUUGCUAUUUGUUGUGCCAAUAUUAUUCUUGAGGCAUGUUAGUUUUCUCUCCCUGGUGUUUACCCUGCUGCUGUAUUUUUGUCAAAGUAAGCAAGCAUCGCUUUUCCAGGCAUGUGGCUGUGAAUCUAUUUCUUUUGCCUGGCUAAUUAAGCAGCCAGUCACGUGGCACUUUUUCUCACUAAUAUGAUCUAUCAGGGACUUAUUGGCAACAGACUAUCCUAGCUUGGGCACUGUUAGACACCAUCCAGUUCAGAGGGAGAGACAGACAGAUGGACAGACUCUAGGUUCGUAUGACUUCUGAGAUAUGCUGACUGCUAGUGUGGCUGGCACAGAAGAUUUCUGUGCAAUUGCAAUGCCUUCUUGUCCCUCUUCCUUCCAUUCCAUAGCCAAGCAGUUGCUGUUCUCUGGGGCUUUAUUGGUACAGAACCAAUCCCACAAGAGUGGGACUCAGCCAGGUUUAAAGGUGCACCUUGGAGUAAGAAACCUAAAUGAAACACAUUUUCUUCCCACACAAAGGCUAGAAGCUGUUGCACUGUGAC
rnacentral:lncRNA from 1 species